CCAAUAGCGUAUAUUAAAGUUGUUGCAGUUAAAAAGCUCGUAGUUGAAUUUCGGGAUCAAUAUAUCGGUCGUGCCUUGGUACGUACUGGUAUCAUUGGUUUCUCCUUUCUGACGAACCAUGAUGUCAUUAAUUUGGUGUUAUGGGAAGUUAGGACUGUUACUUUGAAAAAAUUAGAGUGUUUAAAGCAGGCUUUAGCUUGAAUACAUUAGCAUGGAAUAAUGAAAUAGGACGUUCGAACCUAUUUUGUUGGUUUCUAGGAUCAACGUAAUGAUUAAUAGGGAUAGUUGGGGGCAAUAGUAUUCAAUUGUCAGAGGUGAAAUUCUUGGAUUUAUUGAAGACUAACUACUGCGAAAGCAUUUGCCAAGGAUGUUUUCAUUAAUCAAGAACGAAAGUUAGGGGAUCGAAGACGAUCAGAUACCGUCGUAGUCUUAACCAUAAACUAUGCCGACUAGGGAUCGGAUGAUGUUAAUUUUUUAAUGACUCAUUCGGCGCCUUACG
rnacentral:rRNA from 1 species